rnacentral:rRNA from 1 species
AAAAGAAACCAACAGGGAUUGCCUUAGUAACGGCGAGUGAAGCGGCAAAAGCUCAAAUUUGAAAUCURACAYCUCUGAUGUUCGAGUUGUAAUUUGGAGAGACAUCUUCUGGAGGGACCCAGCCUAUGUGCCUUGGAACAGGACRUCAUAGAGGGUGAGAAUCCCGUUCUUGGCUGGAUGUUCCCUCCYSUAUGUAGUGUCUUCUACGAGUCGAGUUGUUUGGGAAUGCAGCUCAAAAUGGGUGGUAAAUUUCAUCUAAAGCUAAAUACUGGCGAGAGACCGAUAGCGCACAAGUAGAGUGAUCGAAAGAUGAAAAGCACUUUGAAAAUAGAGUCAAACAGUACGUGAAAUUGUUGAAAGGGAAGCGCUUGAGAUCAGAGUCAGCCUUUGGCAAACAAYUGUYCUUWUGGGCAGUGCACUUGUCAUUGGUUGGGYCAGCAUCGRUUGGGACGGUGGGAUAAAGGCUUGGGAAAUGUGACUCCWUUAYGGAGUGUUAUAGYCCCRGGUGKCAUGCCRUCAGUCCCGAYCGUGGACCGCGCYUUGGCUCGGAUGCUGGCUUAAUGGUCUUCA